GAUGAACGCUGGCGGCGUGCCUAAUACAUGCAAGUCGAGCGAACGGAUGAGAAGCUUGCUUUUCUGACGUUAGCGGCGGACGGGUGAGUAACACGUGGAUAACCUACCUAUAAGACUGGGAUAACUUCGGGAAACCGGAGCUAAUACCGGAUAAUAUUUUGAACCGCAUGGUUCAAAAGUGAAAGACGGUCUUGCUGUCACUUAUAGAUGGAUCCGCGCUGCAUUAGCUAGUUGGUAAGGUAACGGCUUACCAAGGCAACGAUGCAUAGCCGACCUGAGAGGGUGAUCGGCCACACUGGAACUGAGACACGGUCCAGACUCCUACGGGAGGCAGCAGUAGGGAAUCUUCCGCAAUGGGCGAAAGCCUGACGGAGCAACGCCGCGUGAGUGAUGAAGGUCUUCGGAUCGUAAAACUCUGUUAUUAGGGAAGAACAUAUGUGUAAGUAACUGUGCACAUCUUGACGGUACCUAAUCAGAAAGCCACGGCUAACUACGUG
rnacentral:rRNA from 1 species